rnacentral:tRNA from 1 species
GCUCGAUUAGCUCAGUUGGUUAGAGCGCACGAUUCACAUUCGUGAGGUCUCAGGUUCGAGUCCUGAAUCGAGCA